AUUGGGUGAGGGGGACGUCGAUGUCAUCGCAGUGAAACUGAAACUACAGCAAAAAUUUGAUUCACUGGUCUGAAGUGACUUUACUCUGAAGUGGAUUUUCAGUACAAGAGAGGAAAGUAUGGCAUACAUGGAUGGAUUUGCAGAUGACUUCUGCUCACUUUUUGAAUCCUAUUUGGAGUGUGACAUAAGGAGCGGUAGUAGGAUGUACAUCAUGUACCAUGGUACCACAAAAACAGCCGCAUUAAAUAUUAAAAAGCAUGGAUUUCAGCG